AGCGAACGCUGGCGGCAGGCCUAACACAUGCCAGUCGAACGAACCUUUCGGGGUUAGUGGCUGACGGGGGAGUAACACGUGGGAACGUGCCUUUAGGUUCGGGAUAACUCAGGUAAACUUGUGCUAAUACCGAAUGUGCCCUUCGGGGAAAAGAUUUAUCGCCUUUAGAGCGGCCCGCGAUUGUUUAGCUAGUUGGUUGAGGUAAUGGCGCACCAAGGUGACGUUAAGUAGCUGGUCUGAGAGGAUGGUCAGACACAUUUGGACUGAGACACGGCCCAGAAUACUACGCGAGGCAGCAGUGGCGAAUCUUGCGCAAUGGGCGAAAGCCUGACGCAGCCCUGCCGCGUGAAUGCUGAAGGUCUUAGGAUUGUAAAAUUCUUUCACCGGGGACGAUACUGACGGUACCCGAAGAAGAAGCCCCGGCUAACUUCGUG
rnacentral:rRNA from 1 species